rnacentral:rRNA from 1 species
GUCCAGACUCCUACGGGAGGCAGCAGUGGGGAAUAUUGGGCAAUGGGCGAAAGCCUGACCCAGCAAUGCCGCGUGAAUGAAGAAGGUCUUAGGAUUGUAAAAUUCUGUCCUAUGGGAAGAAACAAAUGAUGGUACCAUAGGAGGAAGCCCCGGCUAACUACGUGCCAGCAGCCGCGGUAAUACGUAGGGGGCAAGCGUUAUCCGGAUUUACUGGGUGUAAAGGGAGCGUAGACGGCAGAGCAAUUCUGAAGUGAAAGCUCGCGGCCCAACUGCGGGACUGCUUUGGAAACUGCCCGGCUAGAGUGCUGGAGAGGUAAGCGGAAUUCCUAGUGUAGCGGUGAAAUGCGUAGAUAUUAGGAGGAACACCAGUGGCGAAGGCGGCUUACUGGACAGUAACUGACGUUGAGGCUCGAAAGCGUGGGGAGCAAACAGGAUUAGAUACCCGUGUAGC